rnacentral:rRNA from 1 species
UACUGAGGGUGCAAGCGUUAAUCGGAAUUACUGGGCGUAAAGCGCGCGUAGGUGGUUUGUUAAGUUGGAUGUGAAAUCCCCGGGCUCAACCUGGGAACUGCAUCCAAAACUGGCAAGCUAGAGUAGGGCAGAGGGUGGUGGAAUUUCCUGUGUAGCGGUGAAAUGCGUAGAUAUAGGAAGGAACACCAGUGGCGAAGGCGACCACCUGGGCUCAUACUGACACUGAGGUGCGAAAGCGUGGGGAGCAAACAGG